rnacentral:rRNA from 1 species
UACAGAGGUCUCGAGCGUUGUUCGGAUUCAUUGGGCGUAAAGGGCGCGUAGGCGGCGGGGCAAGUCGGGUGUGAAAUCUCAGAGCUCAACUCUGAAACUGCACUCGAUACUGCUUUGCUUGAGGACUGGAGAGGAGAUUGGAAUUCACGGUGUAGCAGUGAAAUGCGUAGAUAUCGUAAGGAAGACCAGUGGCGAAGGCGGAUCUCUGGACAGUUACUGACACUGAGGCACGAAGGCCAGGGGAGCAAACGGG